CCUACGGGUGGCAGCAGUGAGGAAUAUUGGUCAAUGGACGAAACUCUGAACCAGCCAAGUAGCGUGAAGGAUGACUGCCCUAUGGGUUGUAAACUUCUUUUAUGCGGGAAUAAAACGAGUCACGUGUGCCUUUUUGCAGGUACUUUAUGAAUAAGGAUCGGCUAAUUCCGUGCCAGCAGCCGCGGUAAUACGGAGGGUCCGAGCGUUAUCCGGAUUUAUUGGGUUUAAAGGGAGCGUAGAUGGGUUGUUAAGUCAGUUGUGAAAGUUUGCGGCUCAACCGUAGAAUUGCAAUGGAUACUGGCAGUCUUGAGUACAGUUGAGGUAGGCGGAAUUCGUGGUGUAGCGGUGAAAUGCUUAGAUAUCACGAAGAACUCCGAUUGCGAAGGCAGCUUACUAUACUGUGACUGACGUUGAUGCUCGAAGGUGUGGGUAUCAAACAGGAUUAGAUACCCUAGUAGUC
rnacentral:rRNA from 1 species